GAAACCGAGUCUUAAUUGGGCGUUAAGUUGCAGGGUAUAGACCCGAAACCCGGUGAUCUAGCCAUGGGCAGGUUGAAGGUUGGGUAACACUAACUGGAGGACCGAACCGACUAAUGUUGAAAAAUUAGCGGAUGACCUGUGGCUGGGGGUGAAAGGCCAAUCAAACCGGGAGAUAGCUGGUUCUCCCCGAAAGCUAUUUAGGUAGCGCCUCGUGAAUUCAUCUCCGGGGGUAGAGCACUGUUUCGGCUAGGGGGCCAUCCCGGCUUACCAACCCGAUGCAAACUGCGAAUACCGGAGAAUGUUAUCACGGGAGACACACGGCGGGUGCUAACGUCCGUCGUGAAGAGGGAAACAACCCAGACCGCCAGCUAAGGUCCCAAAGUCAUGGUUAAGUGGGAAACGAUGUGGGAAGGCCCAGACAGCCAGGAUGUUGGCUUAGAAGCAGCCAUCAUUUAAAGAAAGCGUAAUAGCUCACUGGUCGAGUCGGCCUGCGCGGAAGAUGUAACGGGGCUAAACCAUGCACCGAAGCUGCGGCAGCGACGCUUAUGCGUUGUUGGGUAGGGGAGCGUUCUGUAAGCCUGUGAAGGUGUGUCGUGAGGCAUGCUGGAGGUAUCAGAAGUGCGAAUGCUGACAUAAGUAACGAUAAAGCGGGUGAAAAGCCCGCUCGCCGGAAGACCAAGGGUUCCUGUCCAACGUUAAUCGGGGCAGGGUGAGUCGACCCCUAAGGCGAGGCCGAAAGGCGUAGUCGAUGGGAAACGGGUUAAUAUUCCCGUACUUGGUGUUACUGCGAAGGGGGGACGGAGAAGGCUAUGUUGGCCGGGCGACGGUUGUCCCGGUUUAAGCGUGUAGGUGUGUGUUCCAGGUAAAUCCGGUUCACUUUAACACUGAGGCGUGAUGACGAGGCACUACGGUGCUGAAGUAACAAAUGCCCUGCUUCCAGGAAAAGCCUCUAAGCAUCAGGUAACAUCAAAUCGUACCCCAAACCGACACAGGUGGUCAGGUAGAGAAUACCAAGGCGCUUGAGAGAACUCGGGUGAAGGAACUAGGCAAAAUGGUGCCGUAACUUCGGGAGAAGGCACGCUGACACGUAGGUGAAGUGAUUUACUCAUGGAGCUGAAGUCAGUCGAAGAUACCAGCUGGCUGCAACUGUUUAUUAAAAACACAGCACUGUGCAAACACGAAAGUGGACGUAUACGGUGUGACGCCUGCCCGGUGCCGGAAGGUUAAUUGAUGGGGUCAGCGCAAGCGAAGCUCCUGAUCGAAGCCCCGGUAAACGGCGGCCGUAACUAUAACGGUCCUAAGGUAGCGAAAUUCCUUGUCGGGUAAGUUCCGACCUGCACGAAUGGCGUAAUGAUGGCCAGGCUGUCUCCACCCGAGACUCAGUGAAAUUGAACUCGCUGUGAAGAUGCAGUGUACCCGCGGCAAGACGGAAAGACCCCGUGAACCUUUACUAUAGCUUGACACUGAACAUUGAGCCUUGAUGUGUAGGAUAGGUGGGAGGCUUUG
rnacentral:rRNA from 1 species